GACAUAUGUAUAUCUCUCUUGUUUGAUCUGAGACCCUGUGAAUGUUCCUUCUAUUUUGAGUUACUGAUUGAGCCAGUCUUGCAGCUGUGCCCAGCCUAGACCAGACCCUGCUGAUUUGCAUGUGCAUGGAGCACAGCCCACUGCCCUGGACACUUCUUUAUAGACUGCUCACAGACUGUGCAGGGGUCAGGUUCAGUCAGCACACAGCAUGAACAUGAGGGCCCCUGCUCAGCUCCUGGGGCUCCUGAUGCUCUGGCUCCCAGGUGCCAGUUGUGACAUCCAGAUGACCCAGUCUCAAUCCUCCCUGUCUGCAUCCCUUGGAGACAGUGUUUCCAUCACUUGCAGAGCCAGUCAGGGCAUUAGCAGUUGGUUAGCCUGGUAUCAACAGAAACCAGGAAAAGCACCAAAGCUCCUGAUCUAUGGUGCAUCCAAUUUGGCUACUGGGGUCCCAUCCAGGUUCAGUGGCAGUGGAUCUGGGACAGAGUUCACUCUUACCAUCAGCAGCCUGCAGCAAGACGAUAUUGCCAUAUAUUAUUGUCAGCAGUAUAGCAGUUUACCUCCCACAGUGAUACAAGUCAUAACAAAAACCUCCAGGGAAGCAGAAAAACCAGGACAGCCUCCAAAACCUCUGAGCUAUAGAGGAUCCAAUGGGGAAAGUGGGAUCCCAAACCGAUUCAGUGGCAGUGAGUCUGAGACAGAUUUCAACUUCACCAUAAAUCAAGUGGAGGCUGAAGAUUCUGCAAAUUGCUAUGGUCAGGAGAAUAACAAGUUUCCUCUCAUAGAAGAAUAUUCUUCAGACAGCUGCUCACUGAGGUUCACUGUCUCAGGUGUUUGUCUUCCACUGAGCACUUCAACCAACACUCUCUAG